ACUAAGCAUAUCAAUAAGCGGAGGAAAAGAAACCAACAGGGAUUGCCCCAGUAACGGCGAGUGAAGCGGCAACAGCUCAAAUUUGAAAUCUGGUCCCCCCGCGGGGCCCGAGUUGUAAUUUGAAGAGGAUGCUUCUGGCAAGGUGCCGUCCGAGUUCCCUGGAACGGGACGCCGCAGAGGGUGAGAGCCCCGUACGGUCGGACGCCGAGCCUCUGUGAAGCUCCUUCGACGAGUCGAGUAGUUUGGGAAUGCUGCUCAAAAUGGGAGGUAAACCCCUUCUAAAGCUAAAUACCGGCCAGAGACCGAUAGCGCACAAGUAGAGUGAUCGAAAGAUGAAAAGCACUUUGAAAAGAGAGUUAAAAAGCACGUGAAAUUGUUGAAAGGGAAGCGCUUGCGACCAGACUCGCGCCCGUCGGAUCAGCCGUCGCUCGUCGGCGGCGCACUCCGGCGGGCUCGGGCCAGCAUCAGUUCGCCUCGGGGGGAGAAAGGCGGCGGGAAUGUGGCUCUACGGAGUGUUAUAGCCCGCCGCGUAAUACCCCCGGGCGGACUGAGGACCGCGCGUAUGCAAGGAUGCUGGCGUAAUGGUCGUCAGCGACCCGUCUUGAAACACGGACCAAGGAGUCGUCCUAAUAUGCGAGUGUACGGGUGUCAAACCCCUGCGCGUAAUGAAAGUGAACGGAGGUGAGAGCUUCGGCGCAUCAUCGACCGAUCCUGAUGUUCUCGGAUGGAUUUGAGUAAGAGCAUAUUGGGCCGGACCCGAAAGAAGGUGAACUAUGCCUGUGUAGGGUAAAGCCAGAGGAAACUCUGGUGGAGGCUCGCAGCGGUUCUGACGUGCAAAUCGAUCGUCAAACAUGGGCAUGGGGGCGAAAGACUAAUCGAACCUUCUAGUAGCUGGUUUCCGCCGAAGUU
rnacentral:rRNA from 1 species